rnacentral:rRNA from 1 species
UACGGAGGGUGCGAGCGUUGUUCGGAAUCACUGGGCGUAAAGCGCGUGUAGGCGGCCCAUUAAGUCUGAUGUGAAAGCCCGGGGCUCACCCCCGGAAGUGCAUUGGGAACUGAUGGACUCGAGUCCCGGAGAGGAGAGUGGAAUUCCUGGUGUAGCGGUGAAAUGCGUAGAUAUCAGGAGGAACACCGGUGGCGAAGGCGGCUCUCUGGACGGUGACUGACGCUGAGACGCGAAAGCGUGGGGAGCAAACAGG